CUGUCCUCCACAUAAGUAUAGGAAGAAGCCCACUCGAAUUCACGGGGUAUUAACUUAAAACGAGAUUACAGGCGUCGUUAAAGGGAGGAGAAGGGAAGGGAAGCGAAAAGAGAAGAAUCCAAAAGAGGGUACGCACCAAAAGACGGCGGCGGUGGAGGCGAUAAGCACCAAUCCCAGCACCAACGCCGGCGAGACUUUUGAGAUCGAAAGGAUAGAUCGAUAGAGUAGGUGCCGGGGGGGGAAGAGGGUAUUCGGAGUCCCGUCAUCGCCCGAGCGAGAUGUCGCAGAAGCGGCAGCCCGAGGGGGGCAAGCCCGAGGGGAGCAAGGCGGGAUCAGACGAGAAGCGCCAGAAGGUUCCCUCCUUCAGAGCGAUUGUGGAGAAGGCAAUUCAGUUGGACCAGCUUCAGAAGCUGUUCGAACCUUUGGUUCGAAAAGUUGUAAAAGAAGAAGUUGAAUUGGCUCUAGCAAACCACUUGGCUAGCAUGACUCCACAAUGUGGAAAGCAGAUAUUUCCAUCCACCUCAAGAACUUUACAACUACAGUUCAACAAUAAGCUUUCUCUUCCAAUAUUCACUGGCUGUAGAAUUGAAGGAGAGGACUAUUCAGUCAUAACUAUAGCUUUAGUUGAUGCCUUGACUGGGCAAGUUGUUGUGUCAGGUCCUGAGUCCUCGAUGAAGGUGGAAAUAGUAGUUCUAGAGGGAGACUUUGAAGGUGGUGAAGAGGAGAAUUGGACAUACGAGGAAUUUAGAAGUAAUAUUGUUAGGGAAAGGGAAGGCAAGCGAUCACUCCUUACUGGGGAUGCCCUUGUAGAACUUAAUAAAGGGUUUGGUGUGAUAGGAGAGCUGUCUUUUACUGAUAACUCCAGCUGGACUCGAAGUCGAAAAUUCAGGCUAGGGGCAAAGGUUGUGGAUGGCUACUUUAGUGGAAUGAGAGUAAGGGAAGCCAGGACUGAGCCAUUCAUGGUUAAGGAUCAUCGUGGAGAGUUGUACAAGAAGCAUUAUCCCCCAUCACUUUCGGAUGAAGUCUGGCGACUAGAGAAAAUCGGUAAAGAUGGUGCUUUUCACAAGCGUCUGAGCAGUGAAAAUAUCCAUACUGUCAAGGAUUUCUUGACCUUAUUGGUCAUGGAUGCAACAAGGCUCCGAAAUAUCUUGGGCAGUGGCAUGUCUACUAAGAUGUGGGAGGUCACCGUGGAACAUGCUCGGACUUGCACAAUCAGUGAUCAGCCGCAUGUUUACUAUCCGAAUGGUCACACAAAACCUGGGGUUGUAUUCAAUGUUGUGGGACAAGUGAUGGGGUUAAUUUCUGAGCAGCAAUUUGUUGCUUUGAAUAAUCUUUCAGAUAAUGAAAAGGCAGAAGCACAAGUGGCUGUAAAACUUGCUUUUGAACAUUGGAAUGAUGUGCUGACCUGUGACACUGGAUCUAUUUUGGGCAACACUUCAAAUGCACCUCCUCCUUUUGCCUCAGGGUCACGAUCCUCACAAGAUAAUGUGUACAACACUUUCCCAAGUCCUGUUAAAGCUGAUGGCUUUGGUUUCACUCAUGCAAGCAUCCCAUCACCAGACAUUUUUUCCAUAGGGGUCACAAGGGCCUCAGAUGCUUAUGGUCUGCAAGGUGUGGAUAGUAUGGAAUCUAGAUUUGAAGCCGAGUCAGAGAGUCUUAUGGGCCGGGAUGCUUUCAAAGACUCCAGAGACCUAGAAAAAUUUUCCAACCCUUCAAUUUAUGACGAGUGUGGCAACCAGGCAUUAUUUGGUGAAGACAGUUUGCAGCAGUAUAUGAAUUCUAACAUCUCUUUGCUCUCGCAUAGCCUUGGUGCAGAUUCGGCUGACCUGGGAACUGCCGUCACCGGCUUCCUUGCAAUGUCAGCAGCACGGACAGCAGCUGUCCAUGGGAAAGCCUACAGAGGAUGGAGGACAUUGUUAUCUGUGUUGAGAUGGAGGUUCUCCAUAAAGAGGAUUGUGGCAUUGAAGAAGAAAACGAUACAGGGAAGGGGGAAAUUUGGUUGAAAAUAUCUAAAAAAAGAAUUGAAAUUAUAGAAAAGAAUAAAGAGGUUUUAGUCUUCAGGAAUGAAACUGGUCUUGGCUUGCAGAUCAAAGGCCUUGUCUGUUUCUUUUGGUGUAUAGAGUGUAUUUCAAAAUGUAAUUGCCUCAGUUUUGGUACAGUUUUAGAAGAAACUAUACAUAGCGAAAAAUGCUCUGUAUAUAAUCAAACUGUGCUACAGUGGUUUUAAUUCAUCAAGGCACAGCUUGCUUAAGUGGAAUAACAGAUACUUGGUUUCCGUUCCAGACUACACUCACGUUAUGCGUGGAUCCCUGGUUUUUUUGGGGCAUCCUGAUGAGGAUAAGAGCCACUUGGAAUGGUUUAUUGGAGGGAAUACCCCUAGGUAUCUACUUUGAGUUCGAGUUGAGGCAGAAUGUGCAUGCAUGCAUCUAUUUACAGGCAUCGAGAGUAUAUUUACUCCUAGACAGCAUACAUGCACUUGGUAAUUGUAUAACUUGAUCUCUGUUGACAUGCUAAAACCCAAAAGCUCCAUCAUUGCUGCUUAAAUUUUGAUGGUAGACUUGCCGCAGAGAGUUCACUGAGUGCUACGGUGUGAUGCAGGACAUCGUGCAUGGGAUAUCCUUGAGUUCAUGCAAAAAGCAGUUGAUGUUUCUGUACUCCAAAACUCAAGUUAGAUGAUUUUUUUUUUUUUCAAUAAAGGUUGCAUGAGAUUCUUAUAUAGCUUAAUUAUGAAGCAGAUUUUUUUAUAGCUGAAAA